GUACCUUUCUUGGCUGAUCCCUUUCGCUGUAUGGCGUGCUCGUUUGGGUUGGGCAUCGGCUAAGGGUGCUCGGAGUGUGGAUUAACUCCAGUCUCCUAUCAGGUGGUGGUUAUCGUAGGUGAUUGAUUAUGGAAACGUUUCAA